AACGUAGGAGGCGAGCGUUAUCCGGAUUUACUGGGCGUAAAGCGCGUGCAGGCGGUUUGGCAAGUCGUGUGUGAAAGCUCCCUGGCUUAACCGGGAGAGGCCAUGCGAUACUGCCAAGCUAGAGUCAAGGAGAGGUAAGUGGAAUUCCGGGUGUAGUGGUGAAAUGCGUAGAUAUCCGGAGGAACCCCAGUGGCGAAGGCGACUUACUGGCCUUGAACUGACGCUCAGACGCGACAGCAUGGGGAGCGAACGGG
rnacentral:rRNA from 1 species